GUUCCAGCCUAAAACCCACUCCAGCAGCAUAGGAGAAGGGUCCGUUCAUUCCCAUCUUCCUCACAGCUGAAGACUUAGCAGGGUUCAGUGAUGUUUGGAGAGUUGGAGCAUUGAUACCUUUUUUCUCUCUUUUUUCCUUUGUCUCUGCCUGCCUCUCUUCCCAUGGGUACCUGAGAAAAUACUCAGCCUGUAUGACUGUGGCCUGAGUCGAGACGGAGCGCUAGCUCUGGGAAGAAAAGGUUUAUUUCCACUCUCACGUGACUGUCCAUCCAUCCAUCUAUCCGUCCAUCUCUCCAUCCAUCCACCCAUUUCACAAUAAAUACUUCCAGCCAGGUACUGCACCAGGUGGCAGGCAUUUCGGGAUGAACGAGAUACGUACGGUCACCGUCUCCUCAUCCUUCUGUGUUCCGCCGGUAGAAAGUGGCAUGGGUAGGGACAAGCCCGGCAUUUCCCUGACACAGGUAGAGUUGACCGUAGUCCAGGCUCUGGUCCCUGCCCAGUGGUUCAGAGACGGUAGGUAGAACCCUAGAGUGUGACCCACAGCACCUCCAUCCCUGCAUGGUAAAUGGAGGUGACUCUGCAGGUGUGGGCAAGCAAAUGGGACAGGUGUACCUGAGCCAUUUUCCAUCUACCUUCUGUGUCCUCCAGGGUUCCUCAGGGCACAGGCUCAGUGUUCGCAGGGGAGGUAACCUCUGGGCCAGAGGUAAGGUGGAAAGACAGUGCAUUAAAAACAGCAGAGCGCAGUUGGGGAGAGAGUGGGCAUCACCCUUACCUGUGAGCGGGUAGGGAAGGCCGAGAGCGGGAGCCUGGGGAGAAGGCCCAUCAGCGCUAGCACCGAGUUCCAGGACAGAUUAGCCACAGCCGGACGCCGACACGGGUGCCAGAUUGUUUCAUUAUGGAAUGGUUAGUUAUCACAUUAGCUGCUAAUUUUAUCUGUCAGCUCAGGAAGUCUGCUUCUUCCACCAGCACAGCCGCAGUAACUGGAUUCACAGCAGGGCUGUUCUCUUUGCUGUUGGGUUUGUUUGUGAAAAUUAAAUCUGAGUCCAGAGGUUUCCUCCUCCCCGACCACCGUGGAUUCUGUAGACCUGUGUGAGGGUCUGCAGAGUGCAGCUGCCAGCCUCACAGAAGGUUUGGUGCCGGAGGCUCCAAGGACCUACUCAGUAUGUCCAGUAUCUACCUCCAGGUGUGCGCAGGAUGGUUUUUUCAAGAAACGUGCUGCCUCAGGAGGCUACCCACACGGACGCCUGGCUUUUUGACAUGUACUGACUUUUUCUUUUUUUAGAGAGGGAAAGAGGACCUGAGUGGGGAGAGGGGCACAAGGAGGGAGGGAGAAAAAAAGAGAGAGAGAGAGAAUUCUAAGCAGGCUCCGCACUCAGUGCAGAGCCCGACACAGGGCUCAAUCCCACAACCCUGGGAUCAUGACCUGAGCCAAAAUCAAGAGUCAGACGUUCAACUGACUGAGCCACCGGGCACCCCAUUUAUUGACAUCUUAUUGAUGAAUCUUUCUUUAAAAAAAUUUUAUUAAUAUAUAUUGUUCUAUAACAAAAAUACCCCAGGGACUGAGUUUGGGUCCGGCUAUGAGGCAGCCCUCAUUAUUAUAGCGAUUGCUUUCAUUUUGUUGUGAAUGCUUUCGUUUUU
rnacentral:lncRNA from 1 species